rnacentral:lncRNA from 1 species
GGAAAAACAUAAAAAUGCAAACUGGGUAUUUGUGAUGUCUCAUCAAACUGGCUUCCUAUCAAGUAGGAUUCUUCCAGAUUUCCCUAACAUUUGAGCUGUGAAGCAGCUUGAGUGAAAGCCAAGCUUCAGAAUAGUGGGGAUAGUUCGACUGGACCAAAAAUGUGUUUGUCCAGCUGAAACUAGAGAUUGGGAGCAAACCCAAGUGAUAAAGUCAUUAUGGAGACUGAUUGCGAUGCUUUUUCCAGUUGGAACAAGUGAAAUGGCAGAAAACAGAGUAAACACGUGCCAGUUCAUGGUCCAUGAGGGGUGUUCUUCCUUUGCUGAUAAGACCCCAAGAGACAGAACUGCCCAAGAACCAGCCAUUUGUCCGGAGCAAAGAGUCAGUGAAGAAAGGCCGCACUGUGGGGAGCUGACCUCUGACUCUGGAGCAGCGCUCCAGUGGAGGUUCCUGCACUCUCCUGGAGUUGAUUUAAUCAUCUCUAGUAAACAAGACUGAAUUCAAAUAAUUUUAUGGAAAACGUCCCAGUCAUGAAAUAAGCCUCAGAGGAAGUGGAAGUAUUGUCUUGAGAAUAAGCAUUUCUUACAAAUUGAAAUGUGUGAAAUCUGGUUCAUUUUUCAAAACCGUGAGUUAAACAAGGCACUUGAUGUUUCAAAGAUUAGAAGCUGUAUUUUGUGCUCUGCCUAAACACAAUAAUAUUGGAAAUAAACAGCGAU